rnacentral:lncRNA from 1 species
CGGAACCACUUGCCAAGCAUGCCUGAGCCGCCUGCUCGAUAGGCCGGAACCACCUGCCACACAGGCCAAAAUCAACAGCUGGCUAUGCUAGAACUACCUGGGGGACAGUCCAAAAUCACCUGCCUGGCAUGCAGGAACCACCUCUCAGACGUAACAGAACCACGUUCCGGACACGCUGGAACCACAUCCUGGACAGACUGGAACCACCUGCCGAGCUCGCCGGAACCACCUGCUCGACUGGGACAGGACAAUCGUGCCGGACACGCCAAAAGGAACUGCCGGCUACACCAGAACCACUUAACCGACACUCCAGAAUCACCUGCCUGGCAUGCCAGAACCACCUCUCAGACGUGCCAGAAGCACGUGCCGGACAUGCCGGAACGACCUACGGGACAGACCGGAACCACCUGCCUGACAUGCCGGAACCACCUGCCGAGCACGCCAGAGCCACCUGCUCCCCUUGCCGGAACCACCUGCCAGACAGGCCAAAAUCAACAGCUGGCUGUGCGAGAACCACCUGGGGGACAGUCCGGAAUCACCUGCCAGCCAUGGCGGAACCACCUCUCAGACGUACCAGAACCACGUGCCGGACAAUCUGGAAACACGUACUGGACAGACUGGAACCACCUGCCGGCCACGCCUGAACCACCUGCCGAGCACGACGGAACCACCUGCCGGACACGCCAAAAUCACCUGCGGGCUACUCCACAACCACUUGGAGGACUCUCCGGGAUGACCUGCCGGGCAUGCUGGAACCACCUCUCAGACGCGCCAGAACCAUGUGGCAGACAGUCCGGAAUCACCUGUUGGGCAUGUGGAACCACCUCUGAGACGUACCAGAACCACCUGCCGGACACGCCAAAAUCACCUGCCGGCUACGCCAGAACCACUUGGCGGACACUCCGGAAUCACCUGACGGGCAUGCCAGCACAACCUCUCAGAAGUGCCAGAAGCACGUGCCGGACAGGCCGGAACCAUCUCCCGGACAGACUGGAACCACAGGGAAACACUCGCCGGAACCACCUGCUUGACUCACCGGUCCCACCUGCAGGACACACCAAAAUCACCUGCCCGCUACACCAGAACCACUUGGUUCACAGGCGGGGAUC